rnacentral:lncRNA from 1 species
GAUGCUGCAGUGGGAGUGUGGAGAGAUGUGAAGGCAACAGCAGGAAUAAUGAUAAGAUUGGUUGUGAGGUACUGUAUAGAUGAGAUGGAUAGGACCAGAGAUGCACCUGAGAGCAGGAGGAAAAGGAGAGGAAAAUGGUCAUGUGGGUGCCAGAUAGUACUGCAUAACCUCUCCUUUUGAAUUUGAGGUACCUGCGUCUGCCAAGAGUAGCUUUUCCAUUUCACAACCAUCACACUUUCCUGUGAGUUCAGAGUUAAUGAAGACAUGUGGAUGCAAAAGGAAAACUUGCAGAGCAAAGUCAUUGCCAAACAGGUUGUGUAGCCUGACCUGUGAAACAUUGUGAAGAAGGAAGAUCGCAGUUUCAGGGAAGAUGACUCGAUAACACCACAGAACAGGUGCCAGGAACUCUGCUAGAUGCUGGAGAUCGACAAAUGAAUAGGAGUUUGAUGACUGAAGCUCAAAUCUCAUCUCUUUCACUUGCUAACUCAAGCACUG